rnacentral:misc_RNA from 1 species
ACCCGUCGUCGUAUCAAACAGGCAGGAAAAAGGCUCCAAUCAAGCGAUUCAGUCAACGAACGCUUGUUUACCGCAUAGUUCGACAGGAAAACAGAGUAGAAAAACAACGGGCUAUACAAAAAGAUGGGGGAGAGGGAAUGUUGGAAAAUGGUGGAAUCUCGAGGAGGCGCAUAAAAGGAGUAGCGUACACAAGUUUCACUAAUCAAUAUCAGGAGAUGUUACAUGGGAAAUUAUUGCCUCUCAUAACCGAAAUAGAAGACAAAAAGACAAUUUUUCAUGAAAAGAAUGCUCUUAUUCGCACAGCCAUCACUACAAAAAAUUUCAAGAUAGAAUUAUUACUGUGACCAGCAUCGAGUCCUGAUCUGAAUCCGAUCGAGAACUUGCGAGAAAUUCUAACAAGAAAAGUUUACGAUCACGAAAAGCCAUCUAUAGAAAAUAUCGUUGAAUUUGAAAAAAAGAUCAAAAUUGAAAUUGAAAUUGAAAUUGAAAUCGAAAUCGGAAAAAGAAUAAAAUCCGUGUGGGUGGAUAUUCAAAACGAAACGGUAAAUAAGCUAAUGGAGUGUACCU